rnacentral:rRNA from 1 species
AUUGAACGCUGGCGGCAGGCCUAACACAUGCAAGUCGAACGGUAGCACAGAGAGCUUGCUCUCGGGUGACGAGUGGCGGACGGGUGAGUAAUGUCUGGGAAACUGCCCGAUGGAGGGGGAUAACUACUGGAAACGGUAGCUAAUACCGCAUAACGUCGCAAGACCAAAGUGGGGGACCUUCGGGCCUCACACCAUCGGAUGUGCCCGGAUGGGAUUAGCUAGUAGGUGGGGUAAUGGCUCACCUAGGCGACGAUCGCUAGCUGGUCUGAGAGGAUGACCAGCCACGCUGGAAAUGAGACACGGUCCAGACUCCUACGGGAGGCAGCAGUGGGGAAUAUUGCACAAUGGGCGCAAGCCUGAUGCAGCCAUGCCGCGUGUAUGAAGAAGGCCUUCGGGUUGUAAAGUACUUUCAGCGGGGAGGAAGGCGGUGAAAUUAAUAACUUCACCGAUUGACGUUACCCGCAGAAGAAGCACCGGCUAACUCCGUGCCAGCCGCCGCCGUAA